UGCAGACUUGUUGUUUUUCAUUCAGUUGAAGAGCUCUCCAUGCUUAAGAUCUUUUCUAGGAUAAUUGCGUCGUUAAAUCUGAAGGUAUAUGAUUGGUUUCUCUACUCAUGUAUCGAUAAGCAUAUUUUUCAUCCUCAAUAUAUUGUUGCUUGCCUAACUUUUUCCUACAUUUGUGAGGUGGCCGUGGAAGUUCAGUUCUUGUAGGCGGCGUAAAACUUGUACUGCCUACAGAUGAUUUUGCCAGUUUGACGAAAACAUAUAAUAACCAAGGGAACUUUCUCAGUUUUUUUUGUUUUUGCACUUCUCGGAUUUUAGGCUGGGGGUAUUAACAUAUAUGGCACAUAGGAAGUUUAGAUCUGCAAGAUUGGAUAGGGAUAAAUCCUUCUGCCAUGUUGAAAAAUUAGAUUUACAAAGAAGAAAAUAAAUUAUUAAAGAAGAGAUAUAGUCGAUUAGGUUGUUGUGGUGUUUCUUUGAUCUUCCCUAGACCUCUCGUUUUCUGAUUGGCAUGGUGAUGAUCUGUUUCUUAUGGUGUUUGUCUGGUUCAGGAUUCGCUCAUGUGCCAAAGCCAGCUCGGGGAAGCCUUCCUGGACUCCUGGUUGACCACGACAAUCACGACAUGGUGAGUGGAUUUUGUCUUUCUUGAGCCAUCGGAUCGGAUUAGAUGUGUAUAUGGUAGUUAUGGACUGCUGACUGCUUAAUGUUGUGUUUCCUCUGUGUACUAUGGUGUGAGCUUAAGCGAGCGGAACGCCGAAGGAGGAUCUUGGGGAUGACGGAGGCAUCGACGACAACCUGAAAGGCGAGAGGUACUGAGACUGCAAAUUGCUUUCAUGUCUCUGCGUUUCUUUCUUUAUGCAACUCCGUCGGUAUUAAGGCCGUAUAGUCGGUGGGGAGCAACAAAAAACUGAAUUUGUUGAUGUUUACAAUUUGGACGAUCUGUUUGAUACAUCUGCAUUGGUGAUGGGGAACAUUGUUCAAGACAGUGUGGGUUCAGAAGUGAGGAAAACAAUUUGGCUUGCAGGGUUCAGGCUACUCUCUUGUGACGUUGGCUUAGGAAAAGUUAUUCGGCUCCAUUUAUGAUUGGGUCAUUUCGCCGUGCUCUAGCCCCGCAUCGUCCCCUCCUCCUUGGUUGCCGCUCUCGUCCUCUGACGAAGGACCAUGGGGCUUGCAGCUGUGCCUGAGCCCCCACAAGGACGUUGGGUGGAGGAUAUCCGGUGCCAACGGGCCGCUCAUGUCGGUGUCCGAGAUCUCGGAGCCGUCGGAGUCCCCGUCACCAUCCGGAGACGGGUCGAUGGGGGAUGCUAUGAUGAAUUGGGUACAUCCAAACUUCUCCUGUGAUAUCUUUAUUUUCUUUUUCGGUUUAAGGUAGUGAAGCCUCAGUUAAUCUGCAAGUGUGCUAUGUUCUUGUUUGUUGCUGGCCUCUACCUGUUUGUUGGUAUGCGUUUGCAAACUGAAAAUAUUAGUGUUUUUCAGGUCUCUGUUAGAGGAAUGUAUUUUCUUGCAAACUAAAUUGGUUUUCUGGAACAUGUCUUCAUAUUUUAGAUUUUAGUAUAUGGCUUCAGAACUAUUCAUUGGAUACACUUUGUUGAUUCCAGCCCGUGGAUAAGAAUAUUUUAGUCACUGGAGAGAUUGUUGAACAUGUGACAUUGAUGCAAAUCUCUGGCCACCUACGAGUGAAACUGCUUGAAGACCAAGUUUGAAUAUGGACGAGGGCAGUGAAUUUCGGCAUGCGAGUUUACUUGCAGUCUCUGACCCUAACGUAAUCAGUCCGAGUAGUGAGGGAAAGGCGCUGCCAACGAGGAUGUGGAGGAGAACAAGGUCGAGCCGGAUUGGUGAAGGGUGUUGAGGCUGGCUCUCUCUCCUCGUCUUCAACAGUGUGAAGAAGAUCGAUGUUGAAAUGGACGCAUGCUUCAGGAGAAGCAGAGGCGUCUUGUGAGCCUUGUGUUCUUCAUCGAUCUGUUUGUGCGUGCUCUUGGUCGCAUGCAUGCCUAAGGUACAACUUGUCUCUCAAUCUCUCCUCCCUGUUAUGGAUCCAACAUGAGGAAAAACCACUCUCUUUUUAUUAUUGUUGCUUCUAUUUACCUUCCAUUUCAUGGUUGUUAGUGUAUGUAUGCCAGACCAAAUAAAAAGAGAUCUCAACUCAGUUUCUUUAAAUGCAGGUUCAUAUCGUGUAUCAUAAAGAAACGUCAACACUAAAGAGAGCAGAGCUAUUAUCUCGACAACUG
rnacentral:lncRNA from 1 species